rnacentral:rRNA from 1 species
CCUACGGGUGGCAGCAGUGGGGAAUCUUGCGCAAUGGGCGGAAGCCUGACGCAGCGACGCCGCGUGCGGGACGAAGGCCUUCGGGUCGUAAACCGCUUUCAGCAGGGACGAGGCCCUCACGGUGACGGUACCUGCAGAAGAAGCCCCGGCAAACUGCGUGCCAGCAGCCCCGGUAAUCCGUGGGGGGCAAUCGUUAUCCGGGUUCAUUGGGCGUAAGGCGCGCGUAGGCGGCCUGUUAGGUCGGGGGUAAAAUACCGGGGCUCAACCCCGGUCCGCCCCCGAUAUCGGCAGGCUUGAGUCUGGUAGAGGAAGGCGGAAUUCCGAGUGUAGCGGUGGAAUGCGCAGAUAUUGGGAAGAACACCGGCGGCGAAGGCGGCCUUCUGGGCCACGACUGACGCUGAGGCGCGAAAGCUAGGGGAGCGAACAGGAUUAGAUACCCGAGUAGUC